ACCAUGAGAGUUGGAAAUACCCGAAGCCUGUGAGCUAACUUAAAGAGGCAGCAGUCGAAGGUAGAGCCAAUGAUUGGGGUGAAGUCGUAACAAGGUAGC
rnacentral:rRNA from 1 species